AAAAAUUGAAGUGAUUUUUUUAUUUUCCGGAUACUCCAACCACGUGAAUAAACGUGAAUGUCUCAUAUUUAAAAUGGCGGAUUUUUCUUUGUUCGGAGAUUCUCAAUUUUAUUGUUUUCCUAUCAUCCCUUAUAUUAUUUAGAUCUAACUGAGGUAGGAUUAGAGUGAAGGUUGGUUGGGGCCUUGCUAGCAGUUUCAAAAUAAUUUUAAAGACUUAAAGUCAAAUCUACUAUCCUUCAUGGAUUGAUGGUACCAAAGUGUCCAUUAUAUAGAGGCUAUAUAUAGUCUGUACAUGUACAUGUGUAUAUGAGUGAGUUGGUGAAGUGGUUUUAUUGUGUACUUUAUGUGGUAUCUUCUUUAUUCAUUUCCUUUAGAAGUCUUCAGUAAAUAAUCUCACAAUAUCCUUGAGGAUUGUUAUCCUUAUCUUCCACACCUAGCUCACACCACACUCACCUUCUUACAGUUGAGUAAUGUGUCUGUUAUAUUGAUGCCAUUCUCUACCAAUCACUUCAUCAUGUCACAGGAUUAGUGAUAAUGACAACUAGCAGCUGCUUGUGUAUAGUAAGAGCCUACUCCCUCGACACAUCCC